GACGAACGCUGGCGGCGCGCUUAACACAUGCAAGUCGAACGGAAAGGCCUGCUUUCCCUUGUGGAUUGCGGGUACUCGAGUGGCGAACGGGUGAGUAACACGUGAGUGAUCUGCCCCCAACUUGGGUAUAAGCCUGGGAAACUGGGUCUAAUUCCCGAUAGGACUGCAGGGUGGUGCCUGUGGUGGAAAACGAUUUUCUAGUGGUUGGGGAUGAGCUCGCGGCCUAUCAGCUUGUUGGUGGGGUAAUGGCCUACCAAGGCGGCGACGGGUAGCCGGCCUGGGAGGGUGGACGGCCACAUUGGGACUGAGAUACGGCCCAGACUCCUACGGGAGGCAGCAGUGGGGAAUAUUGCACAAUGGGCGGUAGCCUGAUGCAGCGACGCCGCGUGGGGGAUGACGGCCUUCGGGUUGUAAACUCCUUUCGACCGCGAGGAAGCCACCUGGUUGGAAGGGUGGUGACGGUAGUGGUAGAAGAAGCACCGGCUAACUACGUG
rnacentral:rRNA from 1 species